UGACCGGAUAGCGAGAGGCUUUCCUGGAUUUCCCGGAACCGCGGAACAACUUUGGGAAGACGACGGCACCGGCACCGGCUCGUGGUUCUGCCCGGUUGGCAUCGAGAAUCCUCUUUGCCAGCAAUUACAGCUGCAAGUCUUUUGGGAUACGUCUCAAGCUUUCCACACCUGGAUUUGGGCAGUUUAUCCUGUUCUUCAUGGCAAUAUUGGAUGGUGAGCAUCUCUGACCUGCCAUCUUCAGGUCUCUCCACAGAUGCCUAAUGAGAUUUAGGUCUGACCCUUGGCUGGGCCAAUAAAGCACAUUGAGAGACUUUCAUUGAAGUGUUUUGGAUGUAUGGCUGUGAACUGAGUUUGGGUUUUGCUGAGGACGUUUUCUUUUAGGAGGUAACCCAAUUUUUACCAGUCUUUCAGUCUUGCCACCAAGAAGCACACUCAUAGCAUGAUGCUGCCACCACCAUGUUUCACAGCACAGCCAUGAAACCACUCACGUGUUAUAAUCAUGGACGUAGACUCUCACAACUAUAAAAUACCAUGCUAAUAUCAAGUCAAGUCAAAUUUAUUUAUAUAGCGCUUUUUACAAUAGACAUCGUCUUAAAGCAGCUUUACAGCAUCCAGGACCAACAGACCCAAAACCCGUGUUGAGCAGCCAAGGGGGACAGUGGCAAGAAAAACUCCCUUAAAAUUACAGGAAGAAACCCCGAGAGGAACCAGACCACUGACCCAACUCAGCAGGAACUGACAGGAAAAAAUAUAUAACAUGCAAGCUAAAACGUGCCAUUUGGUGUGAAUUUGUGUCCUGCAAGUAUAAAGAAACAAAUAAAUAUGAUCUAUUCCUAAUAAUAAA